rnacentral:rRNA from 1 species
UACAGAGGGGGCAAGCGUUGUUCGGAAUUACUGGGCGUAAAGGGCGCGUAGGCGGCCUGUUAAGUCGAACGUGAAAUCCCCAGGCUUAACCUGGGAACUGCGUCGGAUACUGGAUGGCUUGAAUUCGGGAGAGGGAUGCAGAAUUCCAGGUGUAGCGGUGAAAUGCGUAGAUAUCGCUUGGAACGCCGAAGGUGAAAACAGGCUGCUGGGGUUGCGCCGACGCUGAGACACGAAAGCCAGGGGAGCAAACGGG